UACGGGGGGGGUAAGCGUUGUUCGGAAUUACUGGGCGUAAAGGGCUCGUAGGCGGCCAACUAAGUCGGACGUGAAAUCCCUCAGCUUAACUGGGGAACUGCGUCCGAUACUGGAUGGCUUGGAUUUGGGAGAGGGAUGCGGAAUUCCAGGUGUAGUGGUGAAAUGCGUAGAGAUCCGGAGGAACACCAGUGGCGAAGGCGACACGCGGGGCCGUACCUGACGCUAAAGCGCGACAGCAUGGGGAGCAAACGGG
rnacentral:rRNA from 1 species